rnacentral:rRNA from 1 species
UACGAAGGGGGCUAGCGUUGCUCGGAAUUACUGGGCGUAAAGGGCGCGUAGGCGGCCUUGUAAGUCAAAGGUGAAAUCCCUCGGCUCAACUGAGGAACUGCCUUUGAAACUGCAAGGCUUGAGGCCGGGAGGGGGUAGCGGAAUUCCCAAUGUAGCGGUGAAAUGCGUAGAUAUUGGGAGGAACACCAGUGGCGAAGGCGGCUACCUGGACCGGUUCUGACGCUGAGGCGCGAAAGCGUGGGUAGCAAACAGG